AGUGAACGCUGGCGGUAGGCCUAACACAUGCAAGUCGAACGGCAGCACAGUAAGAGCUUGCUCUUACGGGUGGCGAGUGGCGGACGGGUGAGGAAUACAUCGGAAUCUACUUUUUCGUGGGGGAUAACGUAGGGAAACUUACGCUAAUACCGCAUACGACCUACGUGUGAAAGCAGGGGAUCUUCGGACCUUGCGCGAUUGAAUGAGCCGAUGUCGGAUUAGCUAGUUGGCGGGGUAAAGGCCCACCAAGGCGACGAUCCGUAGCUGGUCUGAGAGGAUGAUCAGCCACACUGGAACUGAAACACGGUCCAGACUCCUACGGGAGGCAGCAGUGGGGAAUAUUGGACAAUGGGCGCAAGCCUGAUCCAGCUAUACCGCGUGGGUGAAGAAGGCCUUCGGGUUGUAAAGCCCUUUUGUUGGGAAAGAAAAGCAGCAGGUUAAUACCACGCUGUUCUGACGGUACCCAAAGAAUAAGCACCGGCUAACUUCGUG
rnacentral:rRNA from 1 species